rnacentral:rRNA from 1 species
UAGGGAAUCUUCCGCAAUGGGCGAAAGCCUGACGGGGCAACGCCGCGUGAGUGAUGAAGGUCUUCGGAUCGUAAAACUCUGUUAUUAGGGAAGAACAUAUGUGUAAGUAACUGUGCACAUCUUGACGGUACCUAAUCAGAAAGCCACGGCUAACUACGUGCCAGCAGCCGCGGUAAUACGUAGGUGGCAAGCGUUAUCCGGAAUUAUUGGGCGUAAAGCGCGCGUAGGCGGUUUUUUAAGUCUGAUGUGAAAGCCCACGGCUCAACCGUGGAGGGUCAUUGGAAACUGGAAAACUUGAGUGCAGAAGAGGAAAGUGGAAUUCCAUGUGUAGCGGUGAAAUGCGCAGAGAUAUGGAGGAACACCAGUGGCGAAGGCGACUUUCUGGUCUGUAACUGACGCUGAUGUGCGAAAGCGUGGGGAUCAAACAGGAUUAGAUACCCUGGUAGUCCACGCCGUAAACGAUGAGUGCUAAGUGUUAGGGGGUUUCCGCCCCUUAGUGCUGCAGCUAACGCAUUAAGCACUCCGCCUGGGGAGUACGACCGCAAGGUUG